AUUGAACGCUGGCGGCAUGCUUUACACAUGCAAGUCGGACGAGUGGCGAACGGGUGAGUAACGCAUCGGAACGUAGCGUGUGGUGGGGGAUAACUGUGCGAAACGACAGCUAAUACCGCGUAUUAUAGGAUCGGCCGAAGUCUGAUUAGCUGGUUGGUGGGGUAAAGGCCCACCAAGACGACGAUCAGUAGCGGGUCUGAGAGGAUGAUCCGCCACACGGGGACGUAGACACGGCCCAGACUCCUACGGGAGGCAGCAGGGGGGAAUAUUGGACAAUGGGCGCAAGCCUGAUGCAGCCAUGCCGCGUGUCUGAAGAAGGCCUUCGGGUUGUAAAGUACUUUUGUCAGGGAAGCGGUACCUGAAGAAUAAGCACCGGCUAACUACGUGCCAGCAGCCGCGGUAAUAC
rnacentral:rRNA from 1 species